CAGGACCAAGGCGCUGGUGCUGGAGCUGCUGGCCGCCGUCUGCCUGGUCCGAGGUGGCCACGACAUCAUCCUGGCCGCCUUCGACAACUUCAAGGAGGUCUGCGGGGAGAAGAACCGCUUCGAGAAGCUGAUGGAGUAUUUCCGAAACGAGGACACCAACAUCGACUUCAUGGUGGCCUGCAUGCAGUUCAUCAACAUCGUGGUGCACUCUGUGGAGAACAUGAACUUCCGCGUCUUCCUGCAGUACGAGUUCACCCACCUGGGGCUGGACCACUACCUGGAGGUGGGUGAUACUG